UUUAAUAUUUCUAUGAUGAGUCAUUAAGUCACCUUAUAUCUUUGUAGCUUACCUUUGAAGCCUAACUUGUGGUUAGCCAGAACAUUCCCAAAAGGCAUCUCCAAAGAGAAUUAUAAUUGUCUUUGACCUAAAUAACAAGCUCUAACAGACUACAGUAAUACAUUGGCCAGCACAAUCCAGUGGAAGGAAGAAGCCUGAAUUCAAAGCAGCCAAGUACUAAAGUU
rnacentral:lncRNA from 1 species